GGGCUCACUUUAGUAGCACAAAUACUAAAAUUAGAAAAGUAAUAGAGUAGAUUAGCAUGGUUGCUGAGCAAGGAUGACAUGCAAAUUCACAUAUAUAUGUAUAGCUAUG